GUUAAACUAAAUUAACCUGCGCCAUUAGCACUGGGUCGGAAAGUUAACGCAACCAUUUUAGUUCAGUUAAAACGACACAGUGUCACGACGGUCUGCACGUCUUACCUUUGUUGAAGGAUCCAUCUGGAGUUAUACGGACGGCAUCCUCGGUGGUUCCAAUUUCCAGCCCAUUCCCCAAUUUUCAACCCCAAUGACAGACAACACACGCUUGAACGGCUGUUUCAGCUAAAGAAGGGAAUUGUGCGGCUGACAGUGGGGCGUUGGCGUCUGUGGAGGCUGAAAGAUGGCAGGCCUUAAUGAACCUUGGUCUGACCUUUGACCUCCUUCCCCCGACGACAUCACCAGCUGAGGGGUUCCACAGAGGGUCCACUUGUGUGGAGGUGCAGCUGUAAGCGCUGAUGGUUACAAUGAAAAGGAGGAGAAGGAGGAAGAGCUGGAGACAGAGGGAACGAUAGAUAGAGAGAAGGAGGGGUAGAGAGACAGUCAGCCAGACAGAGAGGUGGUUUCGGUCUACCAGGAACACACAGCUCUCGCCGCCAGCAGUCUGUCAGUGGUGGUCCCCUCAUCCAGUCUGCUGCAGCAUCUGCCAGAGAGGCACCAGGCUGAGCGAGACCCAGAUCCUCAAGACCAGAGCCCCAUCAACUGACUUCUCCUCCAGGCCCAGCUGUCUUCUUCUGCUCUUCCCGCCCCACUCCUCUCUGUCUUCACACCAAAACCAUGUUAGUAACCCUGAAUCAGGACCCCCGGGCCUCUAUCUAUUCUUUCCAUACAGCCCCGGCCUGCCUCCAGCCCCAGCCCCUCAUUUUCCUCCACUGCAGAACCAACAUCAGCUCUCCAGACCUCCCCACCUUAUAUCUCCCCUCCGGCCUCUUCCCAUCCAAAUGCCAUUGCACUGCACCACACAUUCACACAGGAGUGCACAGUGCUAAAGCAAUGAUCGAGGGUCUAUAGGUAAACAUGUGUUUUUAACUA